UACGGAGGGUGCAAGCGUUGUUCGGAAUUACUGGGCGUAAAGCGCGUGCAGGCGGCCGAUUAAGUCCGGUGUGAAAGCCCGGGGCUCACCCCCGGAAGUGCGCUGGAAACUGAUCGGCUAGAGUACGGGAGAGGAAAGCGGAACUGAUGGUGGAGCGGUGAAAUGCGUUGAUAUCAUCAGGAACACCAGUGGCGAAGGCGGCGAUCUGGGUCGAUACUGACGCUGAGGUGCGAAAGCGUGGGGAGCAAACAGG
rnacentral:rRNA from 1 species